CUUUUUCUCCGCUAACCGGGCUAGACAAAAUACGGGAUCGACGUCGAGCGGAGACCAGAGGGAGCAAAGGAGUUGAGCCCGCGAGCUAAGGACCGAAGCGGAGCACGUCUCAACAAGUCUGUACUGACGAACGUUCGUCUGACGUAGGUGCCCGCGGCGGCGGUGCCUGCUCCGGCUGUCGUUCAGCCGUCGCUUCUCGCUACCUCGCCUCCUCGCCUUCGGGAGCUGGUUCACGUUCUUCCCCUUCUUCCGGUUCCCGUUCAACCCCCACUUCUCGCUACCUCGCCUCUUCGGCUUCUGGGUACUGGAAAGGCUACAAUGUGACCCCAACCGCCACUACUCGUAACGUCUCCUACUUCGCGAGCGGGACGCGUGGAUGGUCUUGGUCAAGACCUACUCCGUGAAGUUUCUGCAGACACUGUCCGGCAGGCAUCCACGAUAAUCUUUCGUUCGACGACUUUUGACCUUUAAGAAAUUGCUAAGCCUGUUCCGGGGAAUACAUCGGUCCCGGGCACUCCAGUUUUAUCCGUACCGAGCCUAACGACUCAAGUUCUUCUUUGACUACAACUGCCUCCAUUACUGUUUGCUCUACCACUUAGACUUUUACACUUGUGUGUUCUAGAGAUUCUUUACUGAACCAUCUACCGUGUUAAUGGCGUUCGUUGAGGAGUUGGACUAAGACAGACCCGGCCGUGAACCUCCCAACUCUACGUCCAGUCGACGGACCUUCUGGAACUUCGUGACUCUACC
rnacentral:rRNA from 1 species